rnacentral:rRNA from 1 species
GAUGAACGCUGGCGGCGUGCCUAAUACAUGCAAGUCGAGCGAACAGACGAGGAGCUUGCUCCUCUGACGUUAGCGGCGGACGGGUGAGUAACACGUGGAUAACCUACCUAUAAGACUGGGAUAACUUCGGGAAACCGGAGCUAAUACCGGAUAAUAUAUUGAACCGCAUGGUUCAAUAGUGAAAGACGGUUUUGCUGUCACUUAUAGAUGGAUCCGCGCCGCAUUAGCUAGUUGGUAAGGUAACGGCUUACCAAGGCAACGAUGCGUAGCCGACCUGAUAGGGUGAUCGGCCACACUGGAACUGAGACACGGUCCAGACUCCUACGGGAGGCAGCAGUAGGGAAUCGUCCGCCAUGGGCGAAAGCCUGACGGAGCAACGCCGCGUGAGUGAUGAAGGUCUUCGGAUCGUAAAACUCUGUUAUUAGGGAAGAACAAAUGUGAAAGUAACUAUGCACGUCUUGACGGUACCUAAUCAGAAAGCCACGGCUAACUACGUG